rnacentral:rRNA from 1 species
CAGCAGUGGGGAAUAUUGGACAAUGGGCGCAAGCCUGAUCCAGCCAUACCGCGUGGGUGAAGAAGGCCUUCGGGUUGUAAAGCCCUUUUGUUGGGAAAGAAAUCCAUCUGGUUAAUACCCGGGUGGGAUGACGGUACCCAAAGAAUAAGCACCGGCUAACUUCGUGCCAGCAGCCGCGGUAAUACGAAGGGUGCAAGCGUUACUCGGAAUUACUGGGCGUAAAGCGUGCGUAGGUGGUCGUUUAAGUCCGUUGUGAAAGCCCUGGGCUCAACCUGGGAACUGCAGUGGAUACUGGGCGACUAGAAUGUGGUAGAGGGUAGCGGAAUUCCUGGUGUAGCAGUGAAAUGCGUAGAGAUCAGGAGGAACAUCCAUGGCGAAGGCAGCUACCUGGACCAACAUUGACACUGAGGCACGAAAGCGUGGGGAGCAAACAGGAUUAGA